AACAAUGCCGUGGACACUCCGAUGGAAUGCCGUUGACAUGAUCAAAGAUCAAGGACUUAACCAUUAGACAUCUAUGAUGCCUCAGGUCAAAGGACUACUUUGCAUAUUGCAACUUUCGAGUUCUUACAUGACAUGUAUGUUCGAACUCUCUUUUGAUCGUUGUUCAAUGUACUCGAUUACUCUUUCGAGCACCUAUGUGUUUGUCUUAGUGUCCAACACCAAACGACUUGAGACUAGUCAUACUCACGCUUGAGUCAACAUAACACAUACUAACCUUAGCGGAUUGUCAAUGCCCAAUUGGCAAUCAUAUGACUAGGAACGUUUUAGGAAUGAACAUAAGAGAAUGGUCUUGAUAAUCUAACUCACUUAGAUCACUUGUCUCUUAGAUCAAAUACAUCCCUAGGAUUCCCUUAUUGCUU
rnacentral:lncRNA from 1 species